GAGAAAACUAUAAUUAUAUAUAUCUUACAAGUGUUAGUGUUAGUAUUGCUUGCCCAGUUGGUAUUGUCAAUUGUUUUGAUAUUGUGGGUGCCAGGGAUAAUAUUUAUACGCCACUAGUUUCCUUUGAUACAGUGUUUCAUCCGAGAAGUACGGGUGCCGUGCCACCCCAUACCUUCUACAUGGAUCCGCCCUGAAUGUUGGUCAUGCAAAAGGUUGCGCAGCUUUCAAGACUAGUAGUAUUUCUCACUCUAACCUUCGAUUUUCAUUCCAAUAGAUUCGUUUUCUUUAUUUUUUGUAGCAAAAUCUGGUGACAUGUUUCUAGGAACGCUCGAGGAUAAUGUUAAUAAAAGCAUUAAACAUCCCAUUCUACCAGCAUUAAAAGUCGCAUGAUGCCAGGUCAGCCCCAAAUACUUCUAAUAUUAUUUGUCCAUUUAUUAAUUGUAUCAUAAACCAACCAAACAUAAUCAAAGCAAGCACCCUAGAAUACUACUAAAUCAUUAUUAGAAUUCGCAAAAACAAGAAAAAGUAACAAUAAAACAAGAAAUAAAAAAAAGUCUCAAACACACUUCCCACUUCCCAAACAAUCUAGUACUCACUUCCCACCCAUGUAGUACACAACAAUCUCACAAUGACCACUCAAUAUCUCAGUACUAGUGCUUGCAGGGCAGAUUCUUUGAAGGUUCAAAAGCAAAUGGGCCCACAUCAAAGAGCUUAACACCAGGUUCAGAAUUAUUCACAGGCUUUGAUGAUGCCAUGGGAGAUGGGGGUGCAGGGACCAAUAUGGCUCCACUCUGUCCAUUGUGGAAGU
rnacentral:lncRNA from 1 species